rnacentral:rRNA from 1 species
GAUGAACGCUGGCGGCGUGCCUAAUACAUGCAAGUCGAGCGAACGGACGAGAAGCUUGCUUCUCUGAUGUUAGCGGCGGACGGGUGAGUAACACGUGGAUAACCUACCUAUAAGACUGGGAUAACUUCGGGAAACCGUAGCUAAUACCGGAUAAUAUUUUGAACCGCAUGGUUCAAAAGUGAAAGACGGUCUUGCUGUCACUUAUAGAUGGAUCCGCGCUGCAUUAGCUAGUUGGUAAGGUAACGGCUUACCAAGGCAACGAUGCAUAGCCGACCUGAGAGGGUGAUCGGCCACACUGGAACUGAGACACGGUCCAGACUCCUACGGGAGGCAGCAGUAGGGAAUCUUCCGCAAUGGGCGAAAGCCUGACGGAGCAACGCCGAGUGAGUGAUGAAGGACUUCGGAUCGUAAAACUCUGUUAUUAGGGAAGAACAUAUGUGUAAGUAACUGUGCACAUCUUGACGGUACCUAAUCAGAAAGCCGCGGCUAACUACGU